CGAUUAACGCUUGCGCUUCACAUUACCGCGGCUGCACGGCGCGGGUGGCUGGUACUUGUGCGGGCGUCAGAUGCACAGGUAUUAUCCACGUGCCUGGUUCUUCUGCCAAGUGCUUCCUGGCUUGAAGGCCUUCAUCGCACGCGGGAAUGGCUGGAUCCAGGGUUUCCCCGUGUCCAAGAGUGCCACUGCCGCAUCCGUAGUCUAGGCCGUGUCUCGAGUCCAGUGUGGCUAAUUCAUCCUCCUCAAACCAGCUACGGAUCGUCGCCUUGCUGGUGAGCCGUUACCCGCCAACUACAGCUAUUCGAUAUCAGCCGCUCUAAUAGUGCGGCGAAGGUCCCCGCUUUCCCCGAAGGAGCGUAUGCAGUGUGGCUACACCGCUUUCGCGUAGUUAUCCCCGCUACUAGGCACGUUCCGAUACAUUACUCACCGUUCGCCACACUCAUACACCAGACCGAAGUCCGUGCUGCCGUUCGACUUGCAUGUGUAAGCAUCCCGCCAACGUUCAAUCGACCGCCAUCCAGACC
rnacentral:misc_RNA from 1 species